CUUGUAGGCGGUUUGUCGCGUCUGCCGUGAAAAUCCGGGGCUCAACCCCGGACUUGCGGUGGGUACGGGCAGACUAGAGUGUGGUAGGGGAGACUGGAAUUCCUGGUGUAGCGGUGAAAUGCGCAGAUAUCAGGAGGAACACCGAUGGCGAAGGCAGGUCUCUGGGCCACUACUGACGCUGAGAAGCGAAAGCGUGGGGAGCGAACA
rnacentral:rRNA from 1 species